GUCAACCACCAUUUCGGCCAUUGCUUCUGUGCAGUCCAAUAAGAUUGUCGGUUCCCUGAAGAUUGGGAAGCUGCAGUUAUCCUUGAAGCAUUCAGACGUGGGGCCAUUCUCGGUGCAAAUGAUGCAGGCCAUCAUGAACUACUUCGCGACCAGCGUCCUGGUCCCGCAGAUUAUCG